CAUAGUUCCACUAAUCAGGAGGUCUAGAAGGAGUCAUAGUACCACUAAUCAGGAGGUCUAGAAGGAGUCAUAGUUCCACUAAUCAGGAGGUCUAGAAGGAGUCAUAGUUCCACUAAUCAGGAGGUCUAGAAGGAGUCAUAGUUCCACUAAUCAGGAGGUCUAGAAGGAGUCAUAGUUCCACUAAUCAGGAGGUCUAGAAGGAGUCAUAGUUCCACUAAUCAGGAGGUCUAGAAGGAGUCAUAGUACCACUAAUCAGGAGGUCCAGAAGGAGUCAUAGUUCCACUAAUCAGGAGGUCUAGAAGGAGUCAUAGUACCACUAAUCAGGAGGUCUAGAAGGAGUCAUAGUUCCACUAAUCAGGAGGUCUAGAAGGAGUCAUAGUUCCACUAAUCAGGAGGUCCAGAAGGAGUCAUAGUUCCACUAAUCAGGAGGUCUAGAAGGAGUCAUAGUUCCACUAAUCAGGAGGUCUAGAAGGAGUCAUAGUACCACUAAUCAGGAGGUCUAGAAGGAGUCAUAGUUCCACUAAUCAGGAGGUCUAGAAGGAGUCAUAGUACCACUAAUCAGGAGGUCUAGAAGGAGUCAUAGUUCCACUAAUCAGGAGGUCUAGAAGGAGUCAUAGUUCCACUAAUCAGGAGGUCUAGAAGGAGUCGUAGUUCCACUAAUCAGGAGGUCUAGAAGGAGUCAUAGUACCACUAAUCAGGAGGUCUAGAAGGAGUCAUAGUUCCACUAAUCAGGAGGUCUAGAAGGAGUCGUAGUUCCACUAAUCAGGAGGUCUAGAAGGAGUCAUAGUUCCACUAAUCAGGAGGUCUAGAAGGAGUCAUAGUUCCACUAAUCAGGAGGUCUAGAAGGAGUCAUAGUACCACUAAUCAGGAGGUCUAGAAGGAGUCAUAGUUCCACUAAUCAGGAGGUCUAGAAGGAGUCAUAGUUCCACUAAUCAGGAGGUCUAGAAGGAGUCAUAGUACCACUAAUCAGGAGGUCUAGAAGGAGUCAUAGUUCCACUAAUCAGGAGGUCUAGAAGGAGUCAUAGUUCCACUAAUCAGGAGGUCAAGAAGGAGUCAUAGUACCACUAAUCAGGAGGUCUAGAAGGAGUCAUAGUUCCACUAAUCAGGAGGUCUAGAAGGAGUCAUAGUACCACUAAUCAGGAGGUCUAGAAGGAGUCAUAGUUCCACUAAUCAGGAGGUCUAGAAGGAGUCAUAGUACCACUAAUCAGGAGGUCUAGAAGGAGUCAUAGUUCCACUAAUCAGGAGGUCUAGAAGGAGUCAUAGUACCACUAAUCAGGAGGUCUAGAAGGAGUCAUAGUUCCACUAAUCAGGAGGUCUAGAAGGAGUCAUAGUUCCACUAAUCAGGAGGUCUAGAAGGAGUCAUAGUUCCACUAAUCAGGAGGUCUAGAAGGAGUCAUAGUUCCACUAAUCAGGAGGUCUAGAAGGAGUCAUAGUACCACUAAUCAGGAGGUCUAGAAGGAGUCAUAGUUCCACUAAUCAGGAGGUCCAGAAGGAGUCAUAGUUCCACUAAUCAGGAGGUCAAGAAGGAGUCAUAGUUCCACUAAUCAGGAGGUCUAGAAGGAGUCAUAGUUCCACUAAUCAAGAGGUCUAGAAGGAGUCAUAGUUCCACUAAUCAGGAGGUCUAGAAGGAGUCAUAGUACCACUAAUCAGGAGGUCUAGAAGGAGUCAUAGUUCCACUAAUCAGGAGGUCUAGAAGGAGUCAUAGUACCACUAAUCAGGAGGUCUAGAAGGAGUCAUAGUACCACUAAUCAGGAGGUCUAGAAGGAGUCAUAGUACCACUAAUCAGGAGGUCUAGAAGGAGUCAUAGUUCCACUAAUCAGGAGGUCUAGAAGGAGUCAUAGUUCCACUAAUCAGGAGGUCUAGAAGGAGUCAUAGUUCCACUAAUCAGGAGGUCUAGAAGGAGUCAUAGUUCCACUAAUCAAGAGGUCUAGAAGGAGUCAUAGUUCCACUAAUCAGGAGGUCUAGAAGGAGUCAUAGUACCACUAAUCAGGAGGUCUAGAAGGAGUCAUAGUUCCACUAAUCAGGAGGUCUAGAAGGAGUCAUAGUUCCACUAAUCAGGAGGUCAAGAAGGAGUCAUAGUACCACUAAUCAGGAGGUCUAGAAGGAGUCAUAGUUCCACUAAUCAGGAGGUCAAGAAGGAGUCAUAGUACCACUAAUCAGGAGGUCUAGAAGGAGUCAUAGUUCCACUAAUCAGGAGGUCUAGAAAGAGUCAUAGUACCACUAAUCAGGAGGUCUAGAAGGAGUCAUAGUACCACUAAUCAGGAGGUCUAGAAGGAGUCAUAGUUCCACUAAUCAGGAGGUCUAGAAGGAGUCAUAGUUCCACUAAUCAGGAGGUCCAGAAGGAGUCAUAGUUCCACUAAUCAGGAGGUCUAGAAGGAGUCAUAGUUCCACUAAUCAGGAGGUCUAGAAGGAGUCAUAGUUCCACUAAUCAGGAGGUCUAGAAGGAGUCAUAGUUCCACUAAUCAGGAGGUCAAGAAGGAGUCAUAGUUCCACUAAUCAGGAGGUCUAGAAGGAGUCAUAGUAACAGAGCUCCUACAAUGACUCCACAGACAGUGAACUACUUUUAUAAUGUAGCUGUAAAUAAACAGACUACGGCUGCUUCAGAUGUUCUCAGAGGAAACCAAAGUUUCUGUCAAGCUCAGGACACUUCAGAACAUCAACCUCUAUGAAUGAAGGACUAGAACUACAUCCUUAUUUCUGUUCAGUAGAAAAAUAAAAGCAUAAACUCUGUUAAAAUCCAUGAAAACAAACCUGAUGAAUGUUGUUUGGUCAGAUGAAGAUAAAUCUGUUAGACUCUGAAGGAGUCCAUCAUGUUUGGGGUGAAGCUGACCAGAACUACUGCAGUGGAUCCAUGGUCCUGAUGGAGGAGAACAGAAGUAGCAGAAAUGAUAUGAGGCUGCAUGAGUGUUAAAGGUGUUGAGGAGAUGAUAUUUAUAGAUGAAUACUGACUGAUGAGACGACAUAUUCCAACAUGAGAACCAUCCAAACCAGAGUUUCUACAGAAGAGCAAAGUGACCUGACCCAGUACCUGUCAUGACUGGAAACCUCAAGAAUGCCUUUGGGGCAUUUCAAAGCAACACAACCCCUCCAGCAAAAAGCCACUGAAAAAAGAAAAACAUGGUCUGAAGAACAUCUUUCAUAAGCGGUGAACAUCUGAAGUAAUCAAAGAAAUCAAAGCCAUGAAUCUCAGAGUAAAGCUGAGUGGACGGAGUCAGAAACUGUUUAGAAACACGUUCUCGUUACAUCUCUUUCACCUUUAGAGGCCUUUAAGACGCUCUGAUCCCAGUAAACUCACAAACCUCCAUCUGACUCUGCAGAGGAACGAGAGGCUCGCUGCUAAAAAUGUUGGAAGAAAUCGAACGCUUCGACCUGAAGAUUAAUGACGGGUGAAAACGGCCCCGCGGGUCCAAACAAGGACUUUAUUAAACAGGUCUUUUAUUCUGACACCAAGCAGCCUCUGGGACAAACGCCAGCUAACAUGAUGUAAAAACAUGAUGUGGAAGAAGGUCAGAUGGAGGAACAAGGUCAGAGUCAGAGCUGCCAGAAGGAAAUGUUCAGAUUAAUAUCAGGACCAGAAACUCAGAAAUCUAGAGAAAGAUUCUGUCUUUUUUCUACUGGUACAGUUCUAGCUCUAAUAAUUUAAUGGUUUUAGUACAAUACUAACGUAGGAUUUACAGUGUCAGAAACAUGCUAGCUGUACUUUUUACACCUUUUAUUGUGGGAGUCAUAAAAUAGAAGGUCAUACUGAGAAAAAAGGGACAGGAAAAAAGAAAAUACCAAUGAGACAGAAUUUAAUAAUUAUCAAAUUCUUUUUUUGUGGUUUUCUUAUAAGGAGACAUUUUGAUCAUUUUAACAAGUCAAGCUGAAAAAAAGUAAUAUUUACUGCAAAAAUUAAUGUUUAACUGAUUUUUUUUGAUAUUUUAGAGAUUUUAUUCUCGUUUUGUUAAAUUAGAGAGAACAGUAAAGUCAGAGAAAAAAUAUCAUCAGAACAGUUAUUUUAUAGAUUAUAAGCAGU